AUUGAACGCUGGCGGAAUGCUUUACACAUGCGAGUCGAACGGCAGCACGGGGGCAGCCCUGGUGGCGAGUGGCGAACGGGUGAGUAAUACAUCGGAACGUGCCCGGUCGUGGGGGAUAACGUAGCGAAAGUUACGCUAAUACCGCAUACGAUCUGAGGAUGAAAGCGGGGGACCUUCGGGCCUCGCGCGAUCGGAACGGCCGAUGUCAGAUUAGGUAGUUGGUGGGGUAAAGGCCUACCAAGCCGACGAUCUGUAGCUGGUCUGAGAGGACGACCAGCCACACUGGGACUGAGACACGGCCCAGACUCCUACGGGAGGCAGCAGUGGGGAAUUUUGGACAAUGGGCGCAAGCCUGAUCCAGCCAUUCCGCGUGCAGGACGAAGGCCUUCGGGCUGUAAACUGCUUUUGUACGGAACGAAAAGGCUCUGGCUAAUACCUGGGGCUCAUGACGGUACCGUAAGAAUAAGCACCGGCUAACUACGUG
rnacentral:rRNA from 1 species